rnacentral:rRNA from 1 species
UACGAAGGGGGCUAGCGUUGCUCGGAAUCACUGGGCGUAAAGGGUGCGUAGGCGGGUUUUUAAGUCAGGGGUGAAAUCCUGGAGCUCAACUCCAGAACUGCCUUUGAUACUGAAGAUCUUGAGUUCGGGAGAGGUGAGUGGAACUGCGAGUGUAGAGGUGAAAUUCGUAGAUAUUGGGAAGAACACCGGUGGCGAAGGCGGCUCUCUGGACCGAGACUGACGCUGAGGCGCGAAAGCGUGGGGAGCAAACAGG